rnacentral:rRNA from 1 species
CGAUUCUGGCUCAGGAUGAACGCUAGCUACAGGCUUAACACAUGCAAGUCGAGGGGCAUCAGGGAGAAAGCUUGCUUUCUUGCUGGCGACCGGCGCACGGGUGAGUAACGCGUAUCCAACCUUCCCCCCAGUAGGGCAUAGCCCGGCGAAAGUCGGAUUAAUACCCUAUGUUUUCCAAUGAGGACAUCUGAGCUGGAACAAAGAUUUAUCGCUGGGGGAUGGGGAUGCGUCCGAUUAGGUUGUUGGCGGGGUAACGGCCCACCAAGCCCGCGAUCGGUAGGGGUUCUGAGAGGAAGGUCCCCCACACUGGUACUGAGACACGGACCAGACUCCUACGGGAGGCAGCAGUGAGGAAUAUUGGUCAAUGGGCGCGAGCCUGAACCAGCCAAGUAAGCGUGCAGGACGACGGCCCUAUGGGUUGUAAACUGCUUUUAUGCGGGGAUAAAGUGGCGUACGUGUACGUUUUUGUAGGUACCGCAUGAAUAAGGACCGGCUAAUUCCGUGCCAGCCGCCGC